UACGUAGGGUGCAAGCGUUAAUCGGAAUUACUGGGCGUAAAGCGUGCGCAGGCGGUGAUGUAAGACAGGUGUGAAAUCCCCGGGCUUAACCUGGGAACUGCAUUUGUGACUGCAUCGCUGGAGUGCGGCAGAGGGGGAUGGAAUUCCGCGUGUAGCAGUGAAAUGCGUAGAUAUCGGGAGGAACACCGGUGGCGAAGGCGGCGAUCUGGGUCGAUACUGACGCUGAGGUGCGAAAGCGUGGGGAGCAAACAGG
rnacentral:rRNA from 1 species